UAUGACCUCAUGGAUUAUUACAUAAUCCAGGGAACAAAAGUCAUCUGAAAUAGACCUACCACAAGUUAGAAUAGAAAUGCUAUGAGAUCAGAUGAGAGAACUAUCUUUAAAAGGAGGAAGGUGUUCAGAGAAGAGUCAUCAAAAUUCAGGAGCAAAAUCAAAAGUCAAGAUGAUGGAGAAUGGCCCAGGAUGCAGUGGAUGGCCUUAGCUUCUUCCACAUCUGAAGCAUUCAAGUUCUGAACACUCCACAGAACCUACUUACGCAUCCUUCAUGGUUAUUGGAACAAAUUGCUUUCAUCCACCCCUUCCUCCAGGGGAAAUCUUCACGUGCCUGGGCUAGACCUUCUUUCAGAGAUGGGUAUUUGGGGAAGACCCAUGAUGUGAGCACUUGCUGAGCCCCUUUCAGGACUGCUUUCCUUCUUUGGUGUCCAUCUGCCAACCAGUUUUCCAAGCUGUAGCAUGUCUUAGAAGUAGUGUUAAACCAGGUUGAGGGGAACCAAUAGGCCUUAAACCCAUCAAUCAGUUAGAAGGGGUGUCUACAUGGAAAAGCAGGGAACAGUCAAGAACAGAGCCUGCCUUGUCACACCCCACUAAAUACCUCUCUCUGAGUUUAUGCUGAA